rnacentral:rRNA from 1 species
CCUACGGGAGGCAGCAGUAAGGAAUAUUGGUCAAUGGAGGCAACUCUGAACCAGCCAUGCCGCGUGCAGGAAGAAGGCCCUAUGGGUCGUAAACUGCUUUUGUACCAGAGAAAACCACAGUACGUGUACUGUGUUGAUAGUAUGGUAAGAAUAAGCAUCGGCUAACUUCGUGCCAGCAGCCGCGGUAAGACGAAGGAUGCAAGCGUUAUCCGGAUUCAUUGGGUUUAAAGGGUGCGUAGGCGGACUGAUAAGUCAGUGGUGAAAUCUCUCAGCUUAACUGAGAAACUGCCAUUGAUACUGUUAGUCUAGAGUAUAGAUGACGUUGGCGGAAUAUGACAUGUAGUGGUGAAAUACUUAGAUAUGUCAUAGAACACCGAUUGCGAAGGCAGCUAACGAAACUAUAACUGACGCUGAGGCACGAAAGUGCGGGGAUCAAACAGGAUUAGAUACCCUGGUAGUCCGCACCGUAAACGAUGAUUACUCGUUGUUGGCAAUAUGACCGUCAGCGACCAAGCGAAAGCGAUAAGAAUCCACCUGGGGAGUCGCCGGCACGGUGAAACGUCAAGGAUUGACGGCGNGAGAGNGCGACGGACGACGACGAGGGAGGAGG